UUAGUCCACACUCAGUCUCCAGCAGUUCAUCAAAAUUACCAUGUAAGUGUUUGCUCCUACCGGUUUAUGACUAGUGACUUCUGCUAUAGGAAGCUUGAAAGUCCGCCCUCAGACCUGUCUGAACUGGAUGCACUAAAAUGGGAACCAAGGGAGUUGCCAAAACCCACACAGGUAGGUAAUUUAAAACAGUAUAGACUAAAGAGAUGACCAUUUUAAUUAACGACAUGCUUGAAGCUGCCUGCUGGUCCCAACAUAUUCUCUGGAGAGUAGCCCUGUGUAGCCCAUGACAAAGGCUCGCAGCCCUUGGAGACAAAACAGUGUGGCUAUUGUAUCCUUACACAUGAAUUAUGCUUUAGUUUAUCAAUCAGCUUUUGCCAGACCAUUCCAAAACUUACUUGCUGAAGUUAGCACUCUUUUUCUAGCUUUGUUUUCUUGUCUUAUUUCUGGCUUUUGGGUAUUUAUUUUUCUUUGAAUUUAAUCCCUGUUUUUGUUGUAUUUUAGUCAUCCAUUUUAAAAUGGGAGUGAGGAAAACCCAUCAGUAGUUCAACCACUGAUAGAAAUCCUGCUAUUGUCUUUAAAAUCAUACUGUUUAUUACUUUAGUGCAAAUAACCAGUUGAAAGGUAACUAACUGGCCCAAUAUUUUCUUCAGCUUUUUAAAGUUUUCCAUUAAAGUAAACCAGAAAACUUGCAGAAGAGACUCCUGGGGGGUGAUUUAGAAGAGUAAUGAUUGUACACUGUGAACAGAUACUUUCAGAGGACUGAAUACAUGUUUGUCUGAAGUUAUCAUUUGAAUAGGCAAAAGGGCUGAGCAUCUGAGCUUCUCAGGUAAGAGUAAUAAUUUCUACGAAGGAACAAAAAAGCUCACGCAAAAUUUAAGGUAUGUGGAUUUCAUCAAAUAAUCUGAAAAACAAAUCUAGGAGAGAUUAAUAGCCAAAGAUGUUGCAGGGUGAGGCUUGGACUUCGUAGUCUCUGAUGGAGAAGGAGCUGAAAUUUCCCAGGCUCUAGUCAGGCAUCCUGCCCUGGGAUUUUGCACAAGGCCCUGUGAUGUUAGCCCACUGUCAACAAAGGUUGAGGAGGAAUUCAGUGGCAGUAAUGCUUAGUUCCUUCAAACCCAAGAGCUGUGUGCAGCUUUUGCUAAAUCUACCUAUAGCUUGUAAUUGAUGGUGAUGGCCAAGGAGCCCAAAGCUUACCAGUUAGGCUUAUAUGAAGUAAAAAGAGAGAGAGCAGCCCGUGUAGAGCCAAUGACUUUAUUUUCUAAAUUCAAAAUUAGUGAGUAUAAGUAACACUAUUAAAUCAUAUUUAGUUAUGCAUUUGGCAAAUCACACUUUGCAAAAAUGAAAUAACAAAAACAUUGCACAAUUCAACCAUAGCUUGUCAGUUCAUGCAUUUUUUGUUUUGUUUUGUUUUUGCAUUGUUGUUGUAGUUACUGAGCUACUAGUGCUGAGUGCCCUGAAUGUGAAUAACUCAGUUUGUCCAAUAACUGUAUUUUUUUUCUUUCUUGCUCAUUUUAGUCAUUUUCUUAUCAUCUUGAAGUAAUUCAUUUGUCAGUUUUUGUCACUAUUGAUGCCUUUCUUGAUCCACCAUUGAUUUUAGUUAACAAUAGACGAUUUUUGAAAAUAGGUUAUUUUGAGCCAUUGGUUCAAAGGCAGACUUCAGUUUUCUCUUUUGCUUUAAGAAGCUCUACCUACUUCUCGAGGGCUCUCAGCGUGAUUGGACAACUCCCCGCACAUCCAAGGUAAAGGUCUCCAGUUCUCCUGAGAGCUAUUGCAAGGCUACUAACACUAUUCUCAGUUGUCAAACACAUCUGGUACCUGUUCUUAGAAUUUGCUUCCAACUUCACAGAAAAAUAUCUUAACUCUCAGAAGUACAUCUGUACUGGAUGUUGUCAUAUUUAAAAAUUCUCCCAGCUCUCACUUUCACUUCUUUUUUUUUUUCUAAUGACAAAAAACUCUCCCUUCCCUUUUUUCAAGUCCGUCCUCUCAUCUUAAUUCUGGAGUAAUCCCUCAUUACCCCCAACCCUCCACCCCCAAAAGGACACCAUUCGAUUUGUUACUUGCGUACUUCUGUAUUUUCAGUAUUUCCCUUUUCCCUUUCCCUUGAAAUUCUUUAAAACAACGACAAAAAAACCCACAAAAAAACAAAAAAAACAAAAAAACAAACCCUACCCUUGACCAAAACAACUCAUUUUGGCUACCACUCAACAGAAACUUUCCUUUCAUAACUAGGUUUCUGGAAAGAAUAAACGCUAAUUUUGUUUAUUUGUUUUGUUUCCUUAUAUCAUGUUCAACAAUAUAUAUUUACAACUCAAAGUAAGAGUAUUGAGCAUCUCUCAUGUUCCAGGUUCUGUGGUGUGUACAGCAGUGAGAAUUCUGUGGUUCCUUUCAGAAGUUUUUCAUCUGUGGUGGGAGAGAGAGACUUUCUUUAAAAUUUGGUGCAUACAUACAACAAUGGCAGUGACCACGGUGUGUGACAGAAGCACCUGGGAGGGGCAUCUAAUGACGUGGGAGGAGGGCUGGGAAGCCUCCUUGGGGAGAAGAGGUCAGACCUGAGACGCACAGGACAAGAAUUAGGCAGAUGCAUAUAGUCAUUAUGGGAUGGCCUCCUGAGAGGUGGGGUUCAUUCUAGGAGACCAACAGAGGCAAAUGAAAAUGCAGUGGAUUCAUUAACUGUCAUCUGUCAGAGGAAAGUGAGGUUACGGAUACUGUCAUUGCCAGAAUAAGGUAGGUUCGAGUAUGUUUGCCUGCCAGCCUUUAGUACAUUUGCCUGCCAGCAUUUGAAGCUGAGCACCAGUAGAAUGAAACACCAGAAAGUUCUCACUUAGAA
ensembl:lncRNA